rnacentral:rRNA from 1 species
AUUGAACGCUGGCGGCAGGCCUAACACAUGCAAGUCGAGCGGGGUUUUCGGACCUAGCGGCGGACGGGUGAGUAAUGCGUAGGAAGCUACCCGAUAGAGGGGGAUACCAGUUGGAAACGACUGUUACUACCGCAUAAUGUCUACGGACCAAAGUGUGGGACCUUCGGGCCACAUGCUAUCGGAUGUGCCUACGUGGGAUUAGCUAGUUGGUGAGGUAAUGGCUCACCAAGGCGACGAUCCCUAGCUGGUUUGAGAGGAUGAUUAGCCACACUGGAACUGAGACACAGUCCAGACUCCUACGGGAGGCAGCAGUGGGGAAUAUUGGACAAUGGGCGCAAGCCUGAUCCAGCCAUGCCGCGUGUGUGAAGAAGGCCUUCGGGUUGUAAAGCACUUUCAGUAGGGAGGAAGCGUUGUGUGUUAAUAGUACACAGCGUUGACGUUACCUACAGAAGAAGCACCGGCUAACUCUGUGCCAGCCGCCGCAGUAAAAC